GAACCGUGCUAACGUUAUUCGGAAUCACUGGGCUUAAAGAGUGCGUAGGCGGCCUGGCAGGUUGGGUGUGAAAUCCCUCGGCUCAACCGAGGAACUGCGCUCAAAACCGCCAGGCUUGAGGGAGAUAGAGGUGAGUGGAACUGAUGGUGGAGCGGUGAAAUGCGUUGAUAUCAUCAGGAACACCGGUGGCGAAGGCGGCUCACUGGGUCUCUUCUGACGCUGAGGCACGAAAGCCAGGGGAGCGAACGGGAUUAGAUACCCCGGUAGUCCUGGCUGUAAACGAUGAGCACUGGAUCGAGGGACCUUCCACAAUUUCUCGGUCGUAGCGAAAGUGUUAAGUGCUCCGCCUGGGAGUAUGGUCGCAAGGCUG
rnacentral:rRNA from 1 species